ensembl:lncRNA
GUGCGGUUUUGGGUCAUUUUGGUCCAUUCCCAUUCACAAAAAUGUGAACUUUUGUUUCUCCCCAAAUCCCCCAAACUCAAAACUUUGGGUUUUGCCCCAUUUUGACCCAAAAAAGUGCGAUUUUGGGUCCACCAUCGCAUCCCCAUUACCAAAAAUAGUAACUCUCCAUUUUGACCCAUUUUGACUCAAAAAAGUGCGAUUUUGGGUCAUUUUGGCCCAUUCCCAUUACCAAAAAUGUGAACUUUCAUUUCUCCCCCAAUCCCCCAAACUCAAAACUUUGGGUUUUGCCCCAUUUUGACCCAAAAAAGUACAAUUUUGGGUCCUCCAUCGCGUCCCCAUUAUCAAAAAUCACAACUUUCCAUUUUGACCCAUUUUGACCCAAAAAAGUGCGAUUUUGGGUCAUUUUGGCCCAUUCCCAUUCACAAAAAUGUGAACUUCCAUUUCUCCCCAAAUCCCCCAAACUCAAAACUUUGCGUUUUGCCCCAUUUUGACCCAAAAAAGUGCAAUUUUGGGUCCACCAUUGCGUCCCCAUUACCAAAAAUCGCAACUUUCUAUUUUGACCCAUUUUGACCCAAAAAAGUGCGGUUUUGGGUCAUUUUGGCCCAUUCCCAUUCACAAAAAUAUGAACUUUCAUUUUUCCCAAAAUCCCCCAAACUCAAAACUUUGGGUUUUGCCCCAUUUUGACCCAAAAAAGUGCAAUUUUGGGUCCACCAUUGCGUCCCCAUUACCAAAAAUCGCAACUUUCCAUCUUGACCCAUUUUGACCCAAAAAAGUGCAAUUUUGGAUCAUUUUGGCCCAUUCCCAUUACCAAAAAUGUGAACUUCCAUUUCUCCCCCAAUCCCCCAAACUCAAAACUUUGCGUUUUGCCCCAUUUUGACCCAAAAAAGUACAAUUUUGGGUCCUCCAUCGCGUCCCCAUUAUCAAAAAUCACAACUUUCCAUUUUGACCCAUUUUGACCCAAAAAAGUGCGGUUUUGGGUCAUUUUGGCCCAUUCCCAUUCACAAAAAUGUGAACUUUCAUUUCUCCCCCAAUCCCCCAAACUCAAAACUUUGGGUUUUGCCCCAUUUUGACCCAAAAAAAGUGCAAUUUUGGGUCCACCAUCGCAUCCCCAUUACCAAAAAUCACAACUUUCCAUUUUGACCCAUUUUGACCCCAAAAAAGUGCGGUUUUGGGUCAUUUUGGUCCAUUCCCAUUCACAAAAAUGUGAACUUUUGUUUCUCCCCAAAUCCCCCAAACUCAAAACUUUGGGUUUUGCCCCAUUUUGACCCAAAAAAGUGCGAUUUUGGGUCCACCAUCGCAUCCCCAUUACCAAAAAUAGUAACUCUCCAUUUUGACCCAUUUUGACUCAAAAAAGUGCGAUUUUGGGUCAUUUUGGCCCAUUCCCAUUCACAAAAAUGUGAACUUUCAUUUCUCCCCAAAUCCCCCAAACUCAAAACUUUGGGUUUUGCCCCAUUUUGACCCAAAAAAGUGCAAUUUUGGGUCCACCAUCGCGUCCCCAUUACCAAAAAUCACAACUUUCCCUUUUGACCCAUUUUGACCCAAAAAAUGGGUCAAAAAUGACCCAACUUUUCCCUUUUUCCCCAUUUUUCCCCCCCAAAAUCCCCGCUUUUGGAGCCUCUGAUUAAAAAAAAUCAUCAUUUUGACCCAUUUUGUCCAAAAUCUUCGUUUUUUCCCCCAAAGUUUCACGCUGUUGUAAUUCCAUAUUGAACCACCGGGUGGCGCUGCGGUCCGCGUUGAAUUUUUUGGGUCAAAUUCGGCCCUUUUUGGGGUUUUUCCAUCGGGGAGAAAAGCGGUUUCGUUUUGGGUCGAAAAACGGAACUUUUGGGGGCGGUUCUGGGAACCCAUCGGAGUGAAACGGGGCCAAAAAGGGCUUUUUUGGGGUGCUGGAAAGCGAAAAAACGGUGAUUUUCGGUAGGGGGGGGGGGGGGGGGGGGAGGCGGCGUUUUGGGGUGAAAAGCGUCGAAAUGGAGGUUUUGGUGAUAGUGGAG